rnacentral:ncRNA from 1 species
CAUCGUGAGGUGAAAUCUGAAAGAAGGUCUAGGCAAACCGUUGGUCCGAAGUACAUGAAUCACAUCAGGCCAGUCGUAUGGAUAAGUGUGCCAUACAACGUAAAGUCCAAAUAGCUAUUGAAUACGAAGGGUAAAUGUGGCGGAUAGAUGAAAAGAAAGAUAU